GUGAAUCAUCAAAUUUUUGAACGCAAAUUGCACUCUCUUCGGAGAGUAUGCCUGUUUGAGGGUCAGCCUAAAAAAAAAAUCGACAUAGUCGCUGUUUCGCGGUGACAUUCGUCGGAAAUUGGGUCAUCUUAAACCUUUUGGUUUUAAGCGGCUUAAAAUUUUCUUUACGACUUCAUGACCGUUUUUAAGAUUUACUUCUUAUACGUUUAAGGUAUCGAUCUUAAUUAGACGUUGCCGUUGCAUCGGAUUCCGACCAUAAAUAUUUCCUUAACUGACCCCACACA
rnacentral:misc_RNA from 1 species